GACGAACGCUGGCGGCGUGCUUAACACAUGCAAGUCGAACGGUAAGGCCCUUCGGGGUACACGAAUGGCGAACGGGUGAGUAACACGUGGGUGAUCUGCCCUGCACUUCGGGAUAAGCCUGGGAAACUGGGUCUAAUACCGGAUAGGACCACUGCCUGCAUGGGUGGUGGUGGAAAGCUUUUGCGGUGUGGGAUGGGCCCGCGGCCUAUCAGCUUGUUGGUGGGGUGAUGGUCUACCAAGGCGACGACGGGUAGCCGGCCUGAGAGGGUGACCGGCGAAACUGGGACUGAGAUACGGCCGAGACGCCUACGGGAUGCAGCAGUGGGGAAUAUUGCACAAUGGGCAAGCCUGAUGCAGCGACGCCGCGUGAGGGAUGACGGCCUUCGGGUUGUAAACCUCUUUCAGCACCGACGAAGCGCAAGUGACGGUAGGUGCAGAAGAAGGACCGGCCAACUACGUGCCAGCAGCCGCCGUAA
rnacentral:rRNA from 1 species